rnacentral:rRNA from 1 species
GAUGAACGCUGGCGGCGUGCCUAAUACAUGCAAGUCGAGCGAACGGACGAGAAGCUUGCUUCUCUGAUGUUAGCGGCGGACGGGUGAGUAACACGUGGAUAACCUACCUAUAAGACUGGGAUAACUUCGGGAAACCGGAGCUAAUACCGGAUAAUAUUUUGAACCGCAUGGUUCAAAAGUGAAAGACGGUCUUGCUGUCACUUAUAGAUGGAUCCGCGCUGCAUUAGCUAGUUGGUAAGGUAACGGCUUACCAAGGCAACGAUGCAUAGCCGACCUGAGAGGGUGAUCGGCCACACUGGAACUGAGACACGGUCCAUACUCCUACGGGAGGCAGCAGUAGGGAAUCUUCCGCAAUGGGCGAAAGCCUGACGGAGCAACGCCGCGUGAGUGAUGAAGGUCUUCGGAUCGUAAAACUCUGUUAUUAGGGAAGAACAUAUGUGCAAGUAACUGUGCACAUCUUGACGGUACCUAAUCAGAAAGCCACGGCUAACUACGUG